rnacentral:rRNA from 1 species
UACGGAGGGUGCAAGCGUUAUCCGGAUUUACUGGGUUUAAAGGGUGCGCAGGCGGAUAUGUAAGCCAGUGGUGAAAUCUCCGGGCUUAACCCGGAAACUGCCGUUGAUACUAUAUAUCUUGAAUGCCGUGGAGGUAAGCGGAAUAUGUCAUGUAGCGGUGAAAUGCUUAGAUAUGACAUAGAACACCUAUUGCGAAGGCAGCUUACUACACGGAGAUUGACGCUCAUGCACGAAAGCGUGGGGAUCAAACAGG